rnacentral:lncRNA from 1 species
AUUCAGAUUUCCUACUUUCUUUCUCCUAGGGAAUAGUCUUUCCUUUCCAACAGCUUUGCCCUAUAGCUGAAUUAAAAUUUCUAAACCUGAGUCCUGUUGGCAGCUUUUUAGCAGCAGAGCUGUGCAGGCGGUUGUAUGGAGAGGAGAGGGAAGAAAACCCCUCAGAACAACCUUCAAAAUCCACCGUCAAUAGUUAGAUAGUUGUACCCUGUCUUCAUGCAGCCUGUGUUUACUUCUGGGGCAAGAUGCUACUGGAAGGAGCGUGCUCUCUUAGAUGCAAAGAGCCAGAGAUUUCCUGAGUCAUGGGCAGCUGAGGAGAACUGUGCUGACUUUGAACGGGAAUUAAUGUCAAAGAUGCCCCUGAAGUCCAAAGCUGGAAUUCAGAUGAAAGACUUCUACAGUACGUUUUGAUAAUGUGAUACAAGAAGACAAGGUGUUGCUUUAAGCCAGCAAAAUCACAGAGCUGUCUGAAAGGAGACCGCAGCUACAUGGGGCUCUUUCUUCAGAAGAAGCAGUUAGCAGGCACGUUGGUGUAAAGAAGAAGCACUGGAAAAGCAGAGGGUAGCCCAAGAAGAAACACACUUCUUGUGAAAGAUGUGAUGUUUGGUUUGAAGAUGUAAAAAUCUCAGUCCUUUUGUACAUAGAGAGAGAAAGCAAUUUAAUCUGCAAAACAACAGACUGCAUAAUAAACAGAUACAGGUACAUAAUCUAUUAACCCA